UGUCGCUCGGGGGGGGGGGGGGGGGGGGGGGGGGGGGGGGGGGGGGGGGGGGGGGGGGGGUGCCGCUGUCGCUCAGAGCGCAGCGGGGGCCGGGGCAGCGCCGCUUCUCCUGACACUUCCCUGCUGAAACAACAACAAGCUGCCCCUGCUGCCAAACCCCAUUUGUUGGCUGGGGCAGCUACCUUUAACCUUCCUAAAGUCAACAUCUCUGCGGACAGGGUGGGGAGCAGACCCAGCAGAGCACAGGAGAGCUGGAGAAGGGGUGACAAGUGUGAAAAACGAGGAGUAAGAAUUACCUCUCCCCAAAGACCACCUUCUCAUCACAGGAGAGAAUGCAACUGUGAGGAUGUGAGGAAUGCACAGUCAGGAAUGCAAUUCAGAGAUAGACUGUAGAGUCUCUGUUCAGGUCAGCCUUUCCAGGCAACACUGGUGUUUGAGCAUGUCUUCUCUUCAUGAAAUUUUGGUGUAUGGUUUGAAAGAGACACAUUCCCCAGUGCUGCAGAAGCUGUCCUACAGGUAGGGUCAGUCUAAGAGCUGGGACCCCUGAUAGGGUCACACUGCCCUGUGCCACAAUUUUCUCAGCUGAUGAAAGUGUGGCCUGAAUCAUCCUGGUGGCUUUAACAAACACCUUAGAGAGCUGCAGCUCAAUAUAAUUCUUUAAAGGC
rnacentral:lncRNA from 1 species